ensembl:snoRNA small nucleolar RNA, C/D box 52
UGCAAUGAUGAGCUUGCUCAGACUAGAGUCUCUGAUUCUCUUCUGUGAAGUUCCUCUUAAGCGCUGAGCA